AACGAACGCUGGCGGCAUGCCUAAUACAUGCAAGUCGAACGGAAUGGGGCAACCCAUUUAGUGGCGGACGGGUGAGUAACGCGUGGGAACCUGCCCAUCGGUACGGAAUAACCUCGGGAAACUGAGGCUAAUACCGUAUGCCCCCUUCGGGGGAAAGAUUUAUCGCCGGUGGAGGGGCCCGCGUCGGAUUAGGUAGUUGGUGAGGUAACGGCUCACCAAGCCUUCGAUCCGUAGCUGGUCUGAGAGGAUGAUCAGCCACACUGGGACUGAGACACGGCCCAGACUCCUACGGGAGGCAGCAGUAGGGAAUAUUGGACAAUGGGGGCAACCCUGAUCCAGCAAUGCCGCGUGAGUGAUGAAGGCCUUAGGGUUGUAAAGCUCUUUUGGCAGGGACGAUGAUGACGGUACCUGCAGAAUAAGCCCCGGCUAACUUCGUGCCAGCCGCCGCCGUAAUAC
rnacentral:rRNA from 1 species